ACUGAUGCCCAUGAUUACGGCGUCAAGAUGCGCUCGGUGUUCAAGUUCCUUGAAAACGGCGACAAGGUGAAGAUCACCCUGCGGUUCCGUGGUCGUGAAAUGGCCCACCUCAACCUCGGUCGCGAGCUGCUCGAGCGUGUUGCAGAAGACACCAAAGAGGUUGGCAAGGUGGAAAACUUCCCCAAGAUGGAAGGCCGCCAGAUGAUCAUGCUGAUCGGUCCGCUGCCCAAGUAAAGAUCGCGCCGAUCUGCCACAUUUUCACGCCCCCGCGUUUAUCCGAACGUGGGGGCGUUUUCAUUUCUGCUGAUCGAAGGACACCCCAUGUGGGAAGAACGCUUUGCCAC
rnacentral:misc_RNA from 1 species